rnacentral:rRNA from 1 species
UACGUAGGGUGCAAGCGUUGUCCGGAAUUAUUGGGCGUAAAGAGCUCGUAGGCGGUUUGUCGCGUCUGCUGUGAAAAUCCAGGGCUUAACCCUGGACCUGCAGUGGGUACGGGCAGACUAGAGUGCGGUAGGGGAGAUCGGAAUUCCUGGUGUAGCGGUGAAAUGCGCAGAUAUCAGGAGGAGCACCGGUGGCGAAGGCGGAUCUCUGGGCCGUAACUGACGCUGAGGAGCGAAAGCAUGGGGAGCGAACAGG